CUCUCUCUCUCUCUCUCUCUCUCUCUACUUUAGGAAGUGUUAUAUAGUUGUUCUAUCUUGUAAACUAAGCUUAUGCUUUUUCUCUCUCUCUCUCUCUCUCUCUCUCUCUCUCUCUCUCUCUUCGAGUUGAGAGCGAGUUGAGAGGUUGGAUCCUCCGUUUCCAACAAAUUUAUGAAAUUUAAACAUCACAGUUAAAGCUAGUUUACAAGAAAGGACAACUAUAUAACACUUCCUAAAG
rnacentral:misc_RNA from 1 species